ACUCUUUCAUUAGAGGAUUAGCUUUUUAGCUACUUUGAAAAACAUUAGUGGACCAACUAGCUUCCACUAAUUUUAAUUCUGCUAAUAUUAAG